CCCUUAGAUGUUCUGGGCUGCACGCGCGCUACACUGAAGCUAUCAACACGUUUUCCCUCCCUGAGAAGGGCGGGUAACCUUUUGAAUCAGCUUCGUGGUAGGGAUCGGGGCUUGCAAUUGUUCCCCGUGAACCAGGAAUUCCUAGUAGACGCGAGUCAUAAGCUCGCAUCGAUUAAGUCCCUGCCCUUUGUACACACCGCCCGUCGCUACUACCGAUUGAACGUUUUAGUGAGGCAUUUGGACCGACGCAUCUCAGUUCAACCGCUGGUUUGUGUUGGAAAGACUUCCAAACUUGAGCGUUUAGAGGAAGUAAAAGUCGUAACA
rnacentral:rRNA from 1 species